rnacentral:lncRNA from 1 species
AGUCAAACCUUUGUACCCUUGCACCAUUCAGUAGUCAGUGAGGGAGGGGAUAUAAGGGAUAUAACCUUAGGUUAGGCAGUUCUCUUUGAGGAAAGCUUUUGGUCGCGGGGGUUUUCAACUGUGAGCCAUCGGGAGGCUAAGUCUUAGCAGCUAAGAGGAAUGAGUUCUUUGAUCCUGAAUAUAGAGGCAAAAUAUUGCUUCAGUAUACUGAUUCUAAGCAGGUAGAUGGCUGACCACAAAGAGAUACUUGGAGGAAGUGUGAGCCUAAUAGACCAUUCUAACUGAAAAGAAGCUUUAAUAACCAGAAUAGAUUCACUGAGAAUAAUUCAAAAUAUCACUCGUUUGCCUGAGGAAAAUUCACAUCUUAAUUACUUUGAGGAAAUCUCCAAGUGCACUGACAUUAUCAAUAGGUUCUUUUACCAUGUGAUGCCUUCUGCCAUGCGAGAAAGCCCUCACCAGAUGCAAUCCCUCAGUCUUGAAUUUUCCAGCCUCCAGAAUCAUGAGACAAAUUUAUAUUAUUUAUAAAUUACCCAGUCUGUGGUAUUCUGUUAUGGCAACAGAAAACAGACUAAGACACCAAUCUAUUGAAGCCUAAUAAAGUAAAAACUUCUGUAUUGAAAAUAAAAUAUCUUGGGGGGAGUUUGUUUAAUAAAAAUGGAGCUAUAAUUAUUGUUGUAGCUAUAAAUUAUUACCAAGAGUCCUCUAGCUAAUUUGAAGGCUUUAAUGUGUCUAUAGUUAGAAAUGAGAAAUUUACUGCAAUAAACUACGUAGUAUCUGUUGCUCUUUGAAAACAAAGAAAUCUGUUGUAUGGCAGCCGUAUAGCCCUGGAGCAUCCUGAUGAACUGUAAACAAUCCAGGCUCUACUGUGUGUGGGGUAAAAAAAAAAAAAAAAAAAUUAGCUGAUGUUUAAUAUAGAAUUGUAUUCUAGCCGUGUAACCAAAGGCUUUAAAAGCACCUUUUCCUUCUCUUUCAGAGGCUGGUAUUAAUAAAAUUACUUGGUAAUUUGGCAGUUGUAAAUUGUGACCCUCUGUCAGUGGCUAGGUCACAGAUGUCUCCCUCCUUUCCUUUUUAAACACUGAUGGGUUCAACACAGUAAACAUUGACUUCAUAAAUAAGCAGAGUCAGAGUACUAGGUUCUAGUCACUUCCAUAAUGGAAAGUAAGCAGAGCAAUUUAAUAGUGGGUGUGGGAAGUGGAAGGAGGGGGAACCAGGAUCAUAGUCAAGCAAAUAAUGGAAUGAAUACCCUAUUUAAGUAUGCCAGACAUACUCGUGUAAAAGAAGCUUGUGGGUCACCAGAUACUACAGGAAUGGCAUGCUGGGUUGAUCCCAUAAUUAAGGGAGAAGACAUAAGUCAGGAGCAUCUCAGACCAAAUGUCUUGCGCUACUAUACACUAUAAUUAUUACUCUUAUGAGUCUUACUUCAAUAGGCACUUUGCACUGAUGAUAUGAAAUGCCUUCUCCUUUCAGUAUCAAAAGUUAAAGAGUAAAGUGUAUGGAAGAUUGGAGAGUCAGCUAAUA